rnacentral:rRNA from 1 species
GUGCCAGCAGCCGCGGUAAUACGUAGGGGGCAAGCGUUGUCCGGAUUCAUUGGGCGUAAAGCGCGGGCAGGCGGCCCGUUAAGUCGGCCGUGAAAGCGCCGGGCUCAACUCGGCGAGGUCGGGCGAGACUGACGGGCUCGAGGUUGGCAGAGGGCGGUGGAAUUCCGGGUGUAGUGGUGGAAUGCGUAGAGCUCCGGAGGAACACCAGUGGCGAAGGCGGCCGCCUGGGCCAAUUCUGACGCUGAGCCGCGAAAGCGUGGGGAGCGAGCCGGAUUAGAUACCCUGGUAGUCC